GAUGAACGCUGGCGGCGUGCCUAAUACAUGCAAGUCGAGCGAACGGACGCGAAGCUUGCUUCUCUGAUGUUAGCGGCGGACGGGUGAGUAACACGUGGAUAACCUACCUAUCAGACUGGUAUAACUUCGGGAAACCGGAGCUAAUACCGGAUAAUAUUUUGAACCGCAUGGUUCAAAAGUGAAAGACGGUCUUGCUGUCACUUAUAGAUGGAUCCGCGCUGCAUUAGCUAGUUGGUAAGGUAACGGCUUACCAAGGCAACGAUGCGUAGCCGACCUGAGAGGGUGAUCGGCCACACUGGAACUGAGACACGGUCCAGACUCCUACGGGAGGCAGCAGUAGGGAAUCUUCCGCAAAGGGCGAAAGCCUGACGGAGCAACGCCGCGUGAGUGAUGAAGGUCUUCGGAUCGUAAAACUCUGUUAUUAGGGAAGAACAUAUGUGUAAGUAACUGUGCACAUCUUGACGGUACCUAAUCAGAAAGCCACGGCUAACUACGUG
rnacentral:rRNA from 1 species